GUUGUAGAGGUAACCGCCUCAACGCGAGAUCUGCGACAAUUGAGGAACUGUCGUGUAUUUUUAUCUGCAACAGUUGAACAACAACCCUUAGCCCUUCAUCAUGUAAUUACCUAUUUCAGAACCCCCUUCACUUUAUUCACUCGUCUUAUUUCAUUCGCGCUCCUCUAGUUUUUGUGAAAUUGGAAUAGGCGCACGAAGCAGCUUUAAUCAUCUCCUCGUUUGAGAACUCAUUCCCUUUUUUUUCCAAUCAUCUCCUCAUUGUAGAAGCAGUUUCUCUCCGGCACUCACGUCGUUUACUCUCUCUUACAUCACUUUCCGCAUUCAACGUAGAACACAUCUGAGGGAUUCUAUUCAGCCCUGAUGGGCAACCGUUUAAGACAUACAGGGACUUUUCUUCAUACAUGGUUUCUUUGUUCGGUGUUCAAGACGCCAGCCACUGAAAAUCUUGUUACAGCGAUGGUAGAAAGCAGUUCUACAGUAAUAUCAACAUGUCAUAUGAAAAUCAGAAUGUUGGUCGCGUCCCUUUAUGCGACAUUAAAAUUGAUGCCAAUGCAAGUUUUCAUCAUGAGAUGCAUGCCACCAUAUCAUCACCAAUUGGAAUUUGGAACUGAAAAGAAAAUCAAUUCUGAUGGGAAUUUAAAUGAUUUGUUAUUUCUUCUCCCUAAAGAUUGGAUUCCUCCCCUUUGUACCAUUUCAAACCAGAAUCUGCACCCAAUUAAGACACCAAAACUGUUGCAGCAGUAGAUUUUGCGGCUGGGCCUGGGUAUUAUCUUUGUACAACAUGACAUGUAUAAUAGUCAACAAUCAUCUAGCAGUCAACAAUCAUCAUAGGAGAUUUAUGAAUUUACUUGUAGGAGGUAUGUUCUUUACAAGGCAACAAAGAGAUAUUUUACAACAACAACCGAAUGUUGCAAAGGAGAAUUUAAUGGUACAGAGUUGUCCUGCUGUUUGAUGUAUGGUACGGAGCUGUAUUAGUGUUUCCAUGUGUGGUACAUAGUAUAGUAUUGAGAGGUAGAUUUGAGAGAGUUAUUAGUUCUAAAGAUUUAAAUUUUUUUUAUGAUUAAUCCUAUUAAUAAUGGUGCUAAGGACUUGAAGAUUCUGAAGCUUUUUUAUAUAGAUUUAGCGUACAAAAUUACUUUGGCCUAUGAUGUUUAGACCUUGUAUGAAUGAUUAAAUGAAUGGAUAAAUUGUUUAUGUUUUGAA